UCGCCAGAGCCAGAGAUAACCUUUCCUUCGGCCUCGCUCGAAUGCCGUCUGUUCACCAAGCCAGAACCUCCUGAUGAGAGUCCUAUAGACACGCAGGCACAAUCAUUGCCAUCAAUAACCUUUCCUUCACCUUGGCUUGAAAGCCGUCUGUUCACCGAGCCGCUAGCGUCGCCAGCAGUCAUCGAGAACUGGAGGCCUCCGCUUAAAAGGUGCUCCUUUCGCACGUAUGCAAAAUGUUCAAAGACAUCAGCGAUUAAAGACCCGGGGAAAAAAAUCUGAAGUCCCAAUACCGAAGCUGGGUCUCCGUCCGCAGCAAGCGCUUUAAUCAAAUCAAAUCAAAAUAUUUAUUUGCUUUUAUGGGUUUUACACGUCAUAAAUACUAAAUAUU